GAUGAAGAACGUAGCGAAAUGCGAUAAGUAAUGUGAAUUGCAGAAUUCAGUGAAUCAUCGAAUCUUUGAACGCACAUUGCGCCCGCCAGUAUUCUGGCGGGCAUGCCUGUUCGAGCGUCAUUUCAACCAUCAAGCCCCCGGGCUUGUGUUGGGGACCUGCGGCUGCCGCAGGCCCUGAAAACCAGUGGCGGGCUCGCUAGUCACUCCGAGCGUAGUAGUUACAUCUCGCUCAGGGCGUGCUGCGGGUUCCGGCCGUUAAAAGCCUUUUACCCCAAGGUUGACCUCGGAUCAGGUAGGAAGACCCGCUGAACUUAAGCAUAUCAAUAAGCGGGGA
rnacentral:misc_RNA from 1 species